rnacentral:rRNA from 1 species
GACGAACCGUGCGAACGUUAUUCGGAAUCACUGGGCUUAAAGCGCGUGUAGGCGGAUGGGAACGUCGGCUUCUGAAAGCCCCCGGCUCAACCGGGGAAGUGGGGCCGAAACGACCCGUCUCGAGGGACGUAGGGGGAUCUGGAACUUCCGGUGGAGCGGUGAAAUUCGUAGAUAUCGGGAGGAACACCAGUGGCGAAGGCGGCGACCUGGGCAGAUACUGACGCUGAGGUGCGAAAGCGUGGGGAGCAAACAGG